GCAAAGUGUCGCAAAUGGCUUGUGCUUUUCCUCCGAAGGCAGAGGUCACACGUUCGAAUCGUGUCGGGUGCGCCA
rnacentral:tRNA from 1 species